UUCGCUGCUCAGACCAAGUGUAGUUUCUGUUCUAUUCUGCUAGUUUCUGUUCUUAUCAGCUUUAAUAUCUGAUAUGUCUUUUACUUAAGGACCCUAUAUUAAACUGAUUUUUGGAGCAGGGAGUUGGCAUCGGAGCUUGCUCCAUCCACUCUAUGCAUUAUCCUGGUAUUGCACUGUUCCCAGGAAUGGAAGAGAAAAA